CACAGUGGGUUUAUUGGACAGGUUAGAACCCACCCCGUGGGCUUCGUUGUGAUGAUGAAGGAAACCUGGCAAAUGAUGAAGAUGAUGGGUUUCAACCUGUUCAGUACCCUGAGGCUGCUGAGGGUUCAAAUGGUGAGAGACAUGCCGGACAGGAGCAGAGGCGGAAUAGGAAACAGGCGGCGGUCGAGCAUAAGGAGGCCCUUCGUGCGUGUAAUUUUCGCGGCCAAAGCCUUGAUCUUCUACAUGUGAAAUAUGAUGCACGUGCGAUGAAGGCGGUGGUCGCGGUGGAUCAGCAUGGGAAAUGUGAUGCACUUGUGCCCGCGGCGGUGGUGGUUCAUCUUCUCCAUAAAAAUAUGCUGGCGGUGGUGGUUCAUCUUCUCCAUGAAAAUAUGCUGGCGGUGGUGGCGGAGGAUGAAUAAGAGGCGGUGGGGGUGGGGGCUGCAGGUACUCUUCUUCUUCGCCUGCGCCAUAUUCAGGCCUGUGAUGAUGGGUGUGAUGGUGAUGCCCAAAUGGGAAUUCCAUCGUUCCCAAAUCUGAGUUAGGUCUAAAAGGGGAGAUUCAUGUUUUAUGAUUAAUAUUGAUCGCUC
rnacentral:lncRNA from 1 species